GCUAAACAGCUGGGGUCCUCUGGGGAGGUGGCGCCCCCAGAAUAAGGACAGUUCUGUCCCGGGCCAGCAGCUGUCACCUGAGAAAGACUGAGAUGCCCCCACCAGGCGACAAGGCGUGUUGUGCCCAGACGGGCAGGGCUCGGAUUCCGCCCUGAGAAUGACAAUCUCCAGAUCCAUCCACAUUGCUGCAAAUGGCAUCGUUUUAUUCUUUUUUAUGGCCGAGUAGUAUUCCAUUGUAUAAAUAUACCACAGCUUCUUUAUCCAGUCGUCUGUCAGUGGACAUGCAGGUUGCGUCCAUGUCUUGGCUGUUGUAAGUAGUGCUGCUGUGAAUAUUGGGGAGCAUGUAUCAUUUCGAAUUAGAGUUCUCUCCAGAUAUACGCCCAGGAGUGGGAUCGCUGGAUCAUAGGGAAGUCUCCUCGGAUUGUCUAAUCUUGAAGUCGGGUUGGGGUCGCCCCAUGUGCUCCCACAGAGCCCUGGCAGACCCCGACAUCGACCUUUACCUCGCUUCGUUGUCAUCACGGGCUCACCUGGAUCCUCUGCUGGAAUGAGGGAGACUGAGCACUCUGAAGGCAGGGACCCUGGCUCCCAGCACACAGCGGCUGCUCAGCGGAUGUCUACCAAACGGACACCCAAAUCUCACCCACAUCCCUGGGCAGAGCUUUCCUGGAGCUCUUGUGGGCACAAGUGUGUCCUUCGCUGCCCAAGAAGUCUGAAGGGCAGGGAUCCUGUUACCCCAAAGCUGGGUUCACCUCUUGGUGCGUGUGGAGACAAAAGCACAAAGCUCGGGGAAGUAAGGAGAACACGGAGAUCCUUCCCAAAGCUGCGUCUCCCCGCACGGCAGGGUGGGGGGGUUUUAGGCUAAGGGCACGUUCGUGCAGGGGCUUGGGCGGCAGGCAGAGUCUAAGCUUCACUGGACUGAAGUCCCGCGGCUCAGGGAAGGCCAACAUCCCUCCUCCCCGAGGUCCCGGCUGACCUGGGGGUUGAGCCUUCAGGCCAGUCUUUCCCCUUGAAGCAGAGCUGGAGUCUUCACAGCUGAUGUGUUGUCCUGUUGUUACCUCUCUUGUCUGAUGACCGUUGUCCUCUUGUUCCCUAAGAUCAUACUCCUGAGAGCUGUCCUAGGCAGGCGUUGGGACCCGCCUUAGAUCCCAGAGUGGCUUAGGCCAAAAAUGGCUCCUCUUAUGUCAAAACUCCAUGCCUGGCUCUCUCUCCCCGUGGACCCCUACCCUAUCUGCUCACAGUCCUUUCUGUGGUAACAGGACAGCUCGUUUCCGUGAACUGACGUCUGAGCGCAAGUCCAGUUGUCGGGACAGAGGCGGGCACCUUGUCUUGGUGGUCGUCGUGUGGGGAGGGAGGUGGCUGGGCGGACACUUUCCUGGACUCGGCCUGGAAGCACGGCUUCCUGUCACCUCUGGAGCAGUCUGAGGGGUUUUCUUUUCUAAAAUUUAAAAAUUUUACUUUUUUAUUGACGUGUAGUUGGUUUAUAAUGUUAGUUCCAGGUGCACAGUAAGUGAUUCAGUUCUGUGUAUACACAUAUUUUUCUUUUCAGACUCUUUUUCAUUAUAUGUUGUUACAAGACAUUGAACGUAGCUCCCUGUGCUUUACCGUGGGACCCUG